GCAACGCGGGCGAGGGGGCGGGUGAAAUACGGAGGGGGAGAGCGUUGGCCGGAAUGAGUGGGCGUAAAGGGCUCGUAGGUGGUUGGUGGCGGCUGCCGUGAAAACCCGAGGCUUAACCUCGUGGCUUGCGGUGGAUACGGGCAGACUAGAGGUAGGUAGGGGAGAACGGAAUUCCCGGUGUAGCGGUGAAAUGCGCAGAUAUCGGGAGGAACACCGGUGGCGAAGGCGGUUCUCUGGGCCUUACCUGACGCUGAGGAGCGAAAGCGUGGGGAGCGAACAGGAUUAGAUACCCUGGUAGUC
rnacentral:rRNA from 1 species